rnacentral:rRNA from 1 species
GACGAACGCUGGCGGCGUGCUUAACACAUGCAAGUCGAACGGUGACGAAGAGCUUGCUCUUCUGAUCAGUGGCGAACGGGUGAGUAACACGUGAGCAACCUACCCCUGACUCUGGGAUAACAGUUGGAAACAGCUGCUAAUACCGGAUACGACCCCGGCAGGCAUCUGAUGGGGUGGGAAGCUCCGACGGUCAAGGAUGGGCUCGCGGCCUAUCAGCUUGUUGGUGAGGUAAUGGCUCACCAAGGCGACGACGGGUAGACGGCCUGAGAGGGCGAACGGCCACACUGGGACUGGGAUACGGCCCAGACUCCUACGGGAGGCAGCAGUGGAGAAUAUUGCACAAUGGGCGAAAGCCUGAUGCAGCAACGCCGCGUGCGGGAUGACGGCCUUCGGGUUGUAAACCGCUUUCAGCAGGGACGAAGUGAAAAUGACGGUACCUGCAGAAGAAGCACCGGCUAACUACGUGCCAGCAGCCGCGGUAAUAC